rnacentral:rRNA from 1 species
UACGUAGGGGGCAAGCGUUGUCCGGAAUCAUUGGGCGUAAAGAGCGUGUAGGCGGUUCGGUAAGUCGGCUGUGAAAGUCCAGGGCUCAACCCUGGGAUGCCGGUCGAUACUGCCGGACUAGAGUUCGGAAGAGGCGAGUGGAAUUCCCGGUGUAGCGGUGAAAUGCGCAGAUAUCGGGAGGAACACCUAUGGCGAAGGCAGCUCGCUGGGGGUUAUCUGACGCUGAGGGACGAAAGCCAGGGGAGCGAACGGG